rnacentral:rRNA from 1 species
GAUGAACGCUGGCGGCGUGCCUAAUACAUGCAAGUCGAGCGAACGGACGAGAAGCUUGCUUCUCUGAUGUUAGCGGCGGACGGGUGAGUAACACGUGGAUAACCUACCUAUAAGACUGGGAUAGCUUCGGGAAACCGGAGCUAAUACCGGAUAAUAUUUUGAACCGCAUGGUUCAAAAGUGAAAGACGGUCUUGCUGUCACUUAUAGAUGGAUCCGCGCUGCAUUAGCUAGUUGGUAAGGUAACGGCUUACCAAGGCAACGAUGCAUAGCCGACCUGAGAGGGUGAUCGGCCACACUGGAACUGAGACACGGUCCAGACUCCUACGGGAGGCAGCAGUAGGGAAUCUUCCGCAAUGGGCGAAAGCCUGACGGAGCAACGCCGCGUGAGUGAUGAAGGCCUUCGGAUCGUAAAACUCUGUUAUUAGGGAAGAACAUAUGUGUAAGUAACUGUGCACAUCUUGACGGUACCUAAUCAGAAAGCCACGGCUAACUACGUG